rnacentral:sRNA from 1 species
GAAUAAAAAUGGGUUAGAGUCUUUAGGAGAAAGAAGGUGGAAAUCAUAUUGUGGUCUAGUGAAUGUUUGGGAAGCAUAGAAUUGUUAAGAUAUGCUUUAAAAAAAAUAGAUGGCAACAAAAACAGAAAAAGAAAAAAAUGAUAAGAGCCAUAAGAGUUUAAGAAAAACCCAAUUCACUAGACUAGACUCAUAGAAUUUAAGA